rnacentral:rRNA from 1 species
AUGCUGCCAGGAUGCUCCCCUGCCGACCUCCCCUCCGCCCUCUAUCGCCCUCUCCACGAACCGCUCCCCCAACAACCGCGCUGCGGCAGGAAAUACAUGUUCUUUCUACAGACAAAUGUUGCCACCCCCAUUGUAAUCACAGCAGCUGCACCAGGCAAAGGUGGUGGUGUGCUUGAUCGACCAGCAGAGAAAGUUUCUCCUGGCCGUCAAUCUGAAUUCGAUAAGAAGAAAUCCCGGAAGAUGUCACCUCCAUUCCGCGUUGUCCUGCACAAUGACAAUGAAAACAGGCGGGAGUACGUUGUCCAAGUCCUGAUGAAGGUUAUCCCUGGGAUGACCGUCGACAAUGCUGUUAAUAUCAUGCAAGAGGCACACGUGAAUGGGAUGGCAGUAGUUAUUGUCUGCUCGCAGCCGGAAGCGGAGGAGCACUGCACAGCGCUGAGGGGCAAUGGCCUACGAAGCUCAAUUGAACCUGCAAGUGGUGGCUGCUGA